GGGAAACUUAAGCGCUCCAAUACUGGAAACCAAUACACGUGUGUGAUGGUGGACUACUUCACCAAAUGGAUCGAAGUAUAUCCAUUAAAAACCAAAAAGGCAGAGAAAGUCAUGGAUUGUAUUAUGGAUUUCUUAUUCUUAAGUAUGACGCAUCCAAACGAAUCCUCACUGACCAGGGCAAAGAAUUUGUCAACAAAGGCUUUGAAAAAAAAGAUGCAGGACCACCCAAGCGACUGGGACAAGUACAUCAAACCUACAGUGUUUGGACUACGGACAAAGAAGCAAAUGACCACCAAGUAUUCACCGUAUUUUUUUAUGUAAGGAAGAGAGGCCCGUUAUCCAUCGCGGCAGAUAAGUGAUGAGGACUUAAAUGUACUAGUGGAGAAUGAAGAUCUUUGCAGCCGGAUAUCUAACCUGGAAGAUGUCUACCCUAGGGUGGAGGGAACGUUUAAAGAGGGACAAGAGAAUGUGCGGAAGAGGAAGCUUUCGAAGGGGGAAGAUGACAGCUUUAUGGUGGGGGAUAAAGUUCUGAGAAAGAACAUUCGUCAGGAACAGAGAAAGGGGUGAAAAUUUGUCAGACUUACUGGGUCCAUUUGAAAUAUCAAAAAUCGACGACAAAAGUGCUGAUCUAAAAAACCAUAAAGGAAAGAUCAUGGAAAAGAUCAACAUUGACCACCUAAAAAAAGUCUGUGGUACCACAGACACGCAUCCCAGCCAAAUGGAUUGCCACUGCUUCCAAUCCUCCUCCAGAACCACAGCUUAGCCCUUUCAGCUGUGUUACAGUUCCCCAAUCCCCCACUUUCACACCUAGUCCACGAACAGCCCCUUGUCCUCUGAUCUCAGCAAGAUGGUCGACUCAACUGACAACAGACCCUCAAUGUCAGUCACUCCUAAGGAAUUAAAUGCUGAAAUCUGGUCAGGUCAACGGCAAGGUGUGCUCUGGAGCAAAGUUGAGCCGUUCAAAAUAUUUGCCGCUGACCUGCAGAAUCUGGCCCCCGGAAAGGAGGUAGAGAGUGAGGUAAAUGCAAGCUACUUAAAGCCUUUUCAUUUACAUGCUUGGAAAUAUUUGAUGGGAAAUGUAACAA